rnacentral:rRNA from 1 species
UACGUAGGGGUGCAAGCGUUAAUCGGAAUUACUGGGCGUAAAGCGCACGUAGGCGGACUCUUAAGUCGGUGGUGAAAUCCUGGAGCUCAACUCCAGAACUGCCUUCGAUACUGAGAGUCUCGAGUCCGGGAGAGGUGAGUGGAACUGCGAGUGUAGAGGUGAAAUUCGUAGAUAUUCGCAAGAACACCAGUGGCGAAGGCGGCUCACUGGCCCGGUACUGACGCUGAGGUGCGAAAGCGUGGGGAGCCAAACAGG